UGAUGCUAUUAACUUUGGCGUGCACCGUAUCUGAAUAUGAGCUGCCUCAGCUGGCCCUGCAGCCAGGAGUGCGCUUCUGCCUGCUGAAAUUCUGAAUGGCGCAGGAUUUCUCCCGGUGAAACGGGCCACGACCUGGAACCCCGGCUGCCAUUGCAGCACCAAAUGCCUCCUCCAAGGUGACAUCAGGAGCCUUUGGGAGGGCAGGGCCACGUGGCCAGCAGGGUGGGCCCCAGUGACAUGGGA
rnacentral:lncRNA from 12 species